rnacentral:rRNA from 1 species
UCAGACGAUGCGUCAUGCAUAUCAAUAAGCGGAGGAAAAGAAACUAACAAGGAUUCCCUCAGUAACGGCGAGUGAAGCGGGAAGAGCUCAAAUUUGAAAUCUUGAAAGGUCACCUUUCACGAAUUGUAGUUUAAAGAAGUGUUUUCUGUUACGAUCGUAAUAUAAGUUCUUUGGAAUAGGACAUCACAGAGGGUGAGAAUCCCGUCUAUGAUUGCGAUUUGUAGCUUUGUGAUACACUUUCAAAGAGUCGGGUUGUUUGGGAAUGCAGCCCAAAACGGGAGGUAAAUUUCUUCUAAGGCUAAAUAUUGGCGAGAGACCGAUAGCGAACAAGUACCGUGAGGGAAAGAUGAAAAGAACUUUGAAAAGAGAGUUAAAUAGUACGUGAAAUUGUCAAAAGGGAAGCGUUUAACACCAGUGUUGUUUUCUGAAAAUCAACCUCUGUUAGCUUUAUGCAUGUUUGUUUAGACCUAAUCAGCUAUCUUGCAUGUUCUAUUGUUUGCAGUGGUGCACUUUUCAGUUUACAGGUCAACAUCAGUUUUUUUACCGUAAAAAAGUUAAAGAAAGGUAGCUCAUGGCUCCGGUCGUGAGUGUUAUAGUCUUUUUCCUAUGCGGUAGGAGAGACUGAGGUCUGCAGUGUAGGCUAUUUGGCUAGAUACUCAGGUGCUAUGUGAUACCAUUUCAUAAACAACUUGUUGAUUAUGUUUUGUCUAUUGCAUACUCGCUUGUACUAUCAUACCUACGCUUAGGAUGUUGACUGAUAUGUAGUCGUA